ACCCUCCAGAUUACUUACCUCUUAGCUCUACCUAUUGGUCUAAAUGGCUAAUCAAGGAGGAAAUGUAAAACAGAACAGAGUUGGGAGUCUUGAGUGACAUACAUAUUUCAUUUUCAAACAAGA
rnacentral:snoRNA from 1 species